rnacentral:lncRNA from 1 species
AAAGGGGUUGCAGUGGAGUUCUGGGGAACUGCAGGUCUCUAAGCCUGAUGCUUAUUUCAUGUAACAUAGUAGAAAUAACAGAAUAUAUGAUUAGUAGAUGCUGGGAGAAACGCCAGUUGCCUAGUCAAUGUUGGUGCUAUUAAAAGGAAGACGUGCCUUAGAAUACUCUUGGUGCUCAAUGAAGGGUUGAGAAGACAUGGAAAUUACAGUGAUCUGGUUGAUAUAUUUUACCUGAAUUUCCAAAAGCCUUUGCAAGGAAAUGUUAUAAAAGAGGAAAGGAAAGGAAAGGAAAGGAAAGGAAAGGAAAGGAAAGGAAAGGAAAGGAAAGGAAAGACUAAAAAGGAAGGUGCUGGUAUGGAUAUAUUACUGUUUAAAAGGUACCGUCCUGCUUUUCUGUGUGUCUACCAUUGCUCCAGGGAGAGGAUUCAGGAAACAGAUGGGGAAAGUGACAUGCAAAAGAAGUUAUUUUUAGAAGGACGAAUAAGGAAAAGAGUAGAAUCAGAGUCAUGAGCAGAGUGAAGAACAGAAUCGUAAGAGUCUCUUUCAGUUAAGGCUGGAAGAGAUCUGUGGAGGUGUCUUUGUGCCAUAUCUAAUCAGGUUUUAAGUAUCUCAAAGGAUGGAGACUCCACAAGCUGUCUGGUCAAACUUCUCCAGUGUUUUACCACCUAAAAAGUAAAAAGAUUUUUUUUGUAUGUUUAAGUAGAAUUUUCUGGGCUCACUACCUCUUUGUCCUGUCCCUGGAUACCACUGAGAAGAGUUUGGGCCCAUCUUGUUUACAUUAGCUAUUUGUACACAUUGAUAAUCAGAUCUCCCCUGAGCCUUUCCUUCUUGAAGCUAAACAAUCCCAGCUACCUCACCAUCUCCUCACAUGUCGGAUGCUCCACUUGCUUAAUCAUCUUAGUGGCCUGUAGUGGCAUGUUCACUAGGCUUGCUCCAGUAUACCCAUCACCCUUAUACUGGGGAACCCAGAUCUGAAUGAAUAAUGAAGUCACGGUUCUCCUCAACAAUCUUCAUCCUUCAAGGCACACUUAAUCUUAUCCACAUCCUGCUUUUUGACAAGCCUCUCAGAAAGGAAGUUACCCUGGGAACAGCAGAUUGUAGUGCAGAGAUAAAAACAAAAUGCCAUUUUUACAAUCCAAAAUUGAAGUGAAAGGAAAUAAAAAGUAAUGUUUAGGUCUAGCUUCA